UAUAAUAAUUAUAUAUUAUAAGGUAAUUAUACUUGCAUUUAUUUGCACUUUUUUUACAUGGAAAAUUAUUUACUAGAAAUAAGGAACAAGCAAAGCCUUGCAAAACCCAGGGAGCUGAGACUCAUGGUGAGACAUUGCAGGGAGUCAUCAGUGUUACCUAUAACUGUGCAUUUAACCACCAUGUAAUAUGUACCGUAUGUGGGUAGACAACAACAACAAAAAAAAGUUGUGUGUGGAAACUAAACUCAAGUCACUCUGCAGGCACAUUUUGAGGCAAACCAAUUUGUCAUGACCAAAAAAAUUCAAGAGUAGGCUGAGACCAGAUGCUAUUCCCACAAUCUCUGUAAACAUACAGCAAAUCGCUGCUGAUCACAGCUAUAGUAUUACAGGUGAUACAUAUAUAAUAAGUACAAACUCGUACUAGUUGAAGUAAUAUUUCUAAUUUUGAAGUGAUGUGACAUUUUCAAUAUUUGUAUUUGUAUAUGUAUUCUGCCUCUAUCAGUUUCAAAGGUUGAGGAAAAAAAGAAUGAGGACACUCAAAGAAGGGAAAGUGACAGUGAAGAAAUAGAGGACAUGGCUAGAGAGGAGAGACAGGGACAGGUGACACUACCCAGUCAGCCAGCAGCAAGUCAAUCAGCAGCCAGUCAGCAUUCCAGUGAACCAUCAGCCAGUUACCUGGGUCUAUUAAAAAAAUUAAAGAGACAAGAAAAAAUAUUUAAAAAAAUGCAAAGGCAGCACUAAGAAAAAUAAAGAAUGAAAAUGCAGCUCUCAAAAAAACUAUUAAAAUUAGGGACAACAUUUUAAAGAAAUUUUUGUCAAAAGACCAAAUUAUGGCAUUAGGAAGACGAACCACGAAAGGUAUGAAACGGAGCAAUGAAACAAUUAAGAAGGCAUUAAAAAUUUGCUUUAGAGUGCAUUUUAAAGAAUUUAAUUAUUUAAUACGUGUAAUAAAGAACAAUAAUAGCCAACAAUAAUCCUCCACCUACCAAUCCAGCACCCAGCCAACACUAAUCCUCCACCUACCAGUCCAGCACCCAGCCGACAUCACUGACCCACAGCCUAUAGCAUCAUUGGUCCUCACUGCACACUCCUGACCUGCAUCAUCACUGAUGCUCCAUCACAGAACAGUCCUGUGGCACCACUAAUCCUCCACCUACCAGCACCUACAGUAUGUUACAG
ensembl:lncRNA